CUGAAACAGAGGCAGAGCCUGUUGUCAGGAGCAUAUCACAGGCAGAGGGCAUCGAGGCCUCUUCCCGGACAGUCUGACAGGUCAGCCUGCUGCACUGAAGGCAGUAAGUGCACCCAGCAGCCUGGGACAAUGAUGUUGGCGCUGCUGGAGACAGGGACAGGUGCGGACCUGGAGAGGAGAGUGUUGUGGUGUGAGGCUAAGUGACUCAACGCAGAGACCUGGCUGCUCUUGGGGGCAGGACAAAUGGGAUCCCAUGCUUGCUUCUCCUUGCCUCUGCGCCUUCACAACUGCUAUUCCCCUGACCCAAGAUGUUCUUCCACCCCUUCUUCCUGUCUAGCUCAUCCUUGCAGAUCUAGCUCAAGGGCCACUUCCCCUGAGCAGCCCUCCUUGGCCAGCUCCCUCCUCUGCCUGGCUCAGGCCAGGUGCCCCCCUCCCACUGCACUCACCACACUGUGGACAUGAGGGUCUAUUUGGAGGCUGGGGAUGUGUGAGACCAUGAUCAUCUGGUCCUGAACCUCGCUGAGUGCUCUGUGAAUGUCUGCAGAUGGACAGGCUGACUUUUGCAUGUUGCUGUCCACCAUCCACCUCACCCCUCCUGGACAAAUCCCCCAGCAAGGCUCAGGGCUUGCAGCCAGGCUCGAGUCCUACUUUGGUCCCUGCAGAAACUUCUCACAGGACCUCAGAGUCAGGAGAUCCAAGUUCGUUCUAGUUCUGCUCACGACUUGCUGGAUAACCUCAGGCAAGUCAUUUGGACCUCAGUUUCUUGUCUGUGGAGUGGAAAGACAGAAACACCUACCACAACACCCUUGGGAGGAAAAAGCUGGAACUGUACAUGAAAGGCUUCUUUUUUAAAAUGACAAUCUGAGGUGCUCUGAUACUUCUCUCUAGGCCACGAUACCCACCCAGGAACCAUGACUUGGGGUUGGUUUUCUUCAAUUUUGAAAGGCAGGCAGCCCAGCCAGGCAUGGUGGCUCAUGCCUGUAAUCCCAGCACUUUGGGAGGCCGAGGCAGGUGGAUCACUUGAGGUCAGGAGUUCGAGACCAGCCUGGCCAACAGGGUUUUUAGUAGAAACCCUGUCUCUACUAAAAAUACAAAAAUUAGCUGGGUGUGGUGGUACACGCCUGUAAUCCCAGCUACUUGAGAGGCUGAGGCAGGAGAAUCGCUUGAACCUGGGAGGCAGAGGUUGCAGUCAGCUGAGAUUGUGCCACUGCACUCCAGCCUGGGUGACAAGAGCAAGACUGAAAAAAAAAAAAAAAAAAAAAGAGAGAGAGAGAAAAAGAAAGAAAGAAAGAAAGAGAAAAAGAAUAGAAAGAAAAGAAAGAACGGAAAGAAAGAAAAGAAAGAAAAAAGAAUAAGAAGCAGACAGCCAGGAAUUGAGCUUUGAGAAUGAGUUACCCCACAAGAGGAAAGAACCACUCAGUGUUUGGUCCGCCCAACACCCUUUCGUCUUCUGGAAACAGCAGCAUUCCCCUUGGGGUACUGUGCCUGGCCCAUUCCUACAGGUGGGCUGAACCACAGCUGCCAUCUUCUUCCAUGAUCCUGCCUCUCUGGCCACGCUGUGAUUGUUCCAGGCCUGGGUAUCGGCUGUGAGCUGGACCAAUCAGAGACCUCCCCUGGGACUUUUCAACUGUAACCAAGAGGCCUUUUGCUGUCUGGUAAUGAAGCUGAGAAGAUGCAGGCUCAGAACCUGUGAAUGGCCACAGUACCGGGCUCAUGGGGAAAGGCAGAGAAUGAAGCCACCUCAUGGAGAGAAACAGGAAGUGCUGGACACUUCAGCCCCUGAAACAUUCAAGACCUUGGAAUGUCAUUCCAUGCAGUGAAAAGAAGACUACUCUGGCAUUGGUGUCAAUAAAGAUUCCCUGGAGCUGAGCAGCAUCUACAUCCCUGAGGCCUGUCUGAAAUGCUGGUGCCCCCCACUCCCAUGCCACUAGGAGGGUGCACCUGCUACCCACAGGCCAGAUGCUGCUCCAGGCCGAGUGGAAAGGGGAAAGCAGAUGGGGGCACUGAUGAGAGCAUGGAGGAAAAGAAGCUCGGCCCCCGGAGGGUGACCACACAAGGAGAGGAGGCUUAGGGUUGCCGCAGCUGGGCAGACAGGCUCUGCCCUUACCGCCUGUGUGACCUUGGACAAGGGACUCAGUGAGCCGCAUCCACACAUGGGGCUGGUGAUGCCAUGCAAAUGGUGUUGUCCUGAGAAUUAAGGGAGACACUCAACGCACAAGGACCCCAGGAGCCCUCGAAGCAUGUGAGCCCCUUUUCUCUCUGCCCCGACUGCUUUUUUGCUGUUCUUCUCAUGGCUGAGACUCUAGGGCAUUUUCAGCCUCUUCUAACCCCUCAAAGUCCACCUUAAGCAAUGUUUAUAAACUUGAACAUGAGGAGGAAGGAUGGCACGCAUUGCUUUCUCUUUCCUGUCCUUACUCUGUCUUUCUCCCUCUGUCUCUCUCUCUCUAGGACGGCAUAUUUCUUGUCAGCAAGUCUGAUGGGUCCCCCAGUUCCCCGCUGCUGUGGAGAGAGAGGAGGCCCACAGAGGCGGCCUGACCGCGGUACUGUGCUGGCACUCCAGACGCCCUGUUCCCACCCGUCAUCCUGCAGGCCUCUCCUCUCUUCUGCUGCCCCCACAGUCCAGGCUGCCUGCUUCUCCUGCUGUGGAUGCCACUGCCCCCACCCUAGCUUCCCCUUGUUUCUUCCUGAUUACUGUUUCUUGCUUUUGCCACCACUGGAGAAUGAGGUCAUGGGAGCAGUGGGGGACGGCAGUGCUCAGGUGGUGAAUGGACUGGGGACCCUGGAGACUGAGGUGAAUUUCCCACGCCCCCUCUGAGGGCUGCUCAGAGAGUACUUAUCUUGGAAUCCAUCUCCCCGCAACACACACCCACUGACUCCCAUGGGGAGAGGCAGUGGAGAGGACUUUAGCCUUGGUCUUCCUUUCCUACCAGGAGGAUGACAGCUCCAGCCCUGCAGCUCCUUCCUUCGCCCGACUCCUGCACUGGAGCCGGAUGGUUUAGAAUGAGAUCCAGGCCUCCUCCCACGUCUCCCUCCCUUCCUUCCAUCCCAGGCAGAUCAGGGAACUUGCUCCUCCUCAGGAAAGCAGCUGGACAGAGUGGGUGGGAUGAGGAGUCCAGGUGGUCCCCAAGGCGAGCACUGCGCAGGUGUGGGCUUUAUGAGAGAGGAGAUGAGCUACAGCUGCAGAGACUCAGACAUAUCAGGUUGAGAGAGCAAGGGAGUUAAGAAGUCAAGUUGGCUGUACACCUGUAAUCUCAGCAUUUUGGGAGGCCGAGGUAGGUGGAUCACUUGAGGUCAGGAGUUUGCAACCAGUCUGGCCAACAUGGUGAAACCCCGUCUCUACUAAAAAUUUAAAAAAUUAGCCAGGCGUGGUGGUGAGCACCUGUAAUCCCAGCUACUUGGGAGGCUAAGGCGGGAGAAUUGCUUGAACCCGGGAGGUGGAGGCUGCAGUGAGCUGAGACUGCACCACUGCACUCCAGCCUGGGCAACAGAGUGAGACUCUAUCUCAAAAAAAAAAAAAAAAAAAAAAAAUCAAGUUGUCUUGCCAUUCAUUCAUAAGUGGGGAAACUGAGGUUCAGACAGAUUAACCCAUAGACAGAUACAACUUUGUAUAGCACUUUACUUUUUCAUUUAUUUAUUUAUUUAGAGACAGGGUCUCGCUCUGUCACCCAGGCUGGAGUGUAAUGGCGCAAUCACAGUUCACUGCAGCCUUGACCUCCCAGGCUCAGUAAUCCUGCCUCAGCCUCCCAAGUAGCUGGUAUUACAGGCACACCCCAUCAUGCCUGGCUAAUUUUUGUAUUUUUAGUAGAGAUGGGUCUCCCUGUACUACCCAGGCUGGUCUCCAACUCCCGGGCUCAAGCAAUCUGCCUGCCUCAGCCUCCCAAAGCGCUGAGGUUCUAGACAUGAGCCACCACACAGGCCACAUCUCUUUACAAUUUACCAAGCCUAGCCAUUAAGUAGACGGAAAACAUCUACUUAAACGAGAAAACUACAAGAGCACAGCGCCACCAUGCAGCACAUUUGUUGACUCCUUCAGCAUGUCGGUGCAGACACCUGCUCUGUGCAGGGGCUGUGCUGAGUGCAGAGCACUCUGUUAGCUCGCAGCCUUGCAGGUUCCCUGGAGCUGCACCAUCUCAUUUCCCCUUACAACUUCCUGAGGUGCACAGACAGACAUCGCUGCUCUCCCCACUUUACAAAGGAGAAAAGUGAGAUCGGAGAGGGGACGUUAUUUGCCCAAAGCCACACAGUCUUUGUUUUAAAAUCAGAGGCUAGACUUUUAAAAAACCUCAGGGCUGGAAGCCACUGUGGCUCCAGAAAGUCACCAAAGUUGUGAGUGCAGAUAAAUAUUUAACAACUGCCUGGGGGCUGGGGUGCAGGUAGGGGCAGAGGAGUCCUGAAUUGCCGUUGUUGCCAAUUUCUGUGGUGUAAAUACUUCCACGGUAGCUGACUUCCAGCUACCCUUUCAAAAAAGUUACUGAACAUGGAGUUAGGAAGAGACAUGUUCAGUUGCCUCUCACCCAGCUGCAUACAUGAUCUCCAGCACACCCCUGCUGAGAGCUUCCUGAUUUGUGUUUCUAAAAGAGUCAAAGGGAAACAUUUACAUUUCUUUCUUUUUUGUUUUGUUUUGUUUUGUUCGAGACAGGGUCUCACUCUGUUGCCAGGCUGGAGUGCCGUGGUGCAAUCACGGCUCACUGCAGCCUUGGCUUCGUGGGCUCAAGUGAUUCUCCCACUUCAGUCCCUGCCCCCAGCUCCACCUCCCCCACCAAAGGCUCAUGCCCUGGUAAUUUUUUUUUAUUCUUUGGUAGAGACAGGGUCUCCCUAUGUUGCCCAGGCUGGUCCCAAACUCCUGGCCUCAAGCAAUCCUCCCGCCUCCAAUUCCCAAAGUGCUGGGGUUACAGGCGCGAGCCACUGCGUCAGGCCACAUCUCUUUACAAUUUACCGAGCCCAGUUGUUUAUUUAAAAAUAAAAACAUUUAUUUAAAAAUUACGGGCACAGUGGCUCAUGCCUGUAAUCCCAGCACUUUGGGAGGUCAAAGUGGGCGGGUCACCUGAAGUCAGGAGUUUGAGACCAGCCUGGCCAACAUGGUGAAACCUCAUCUCUAUAAAAAUACAAAAAUUAGCCAGGCAUGGUGGCACGCGCCUGUAAUCCCAGCUACCCGGGUGGCUGAGGUAGGGGAAUCGCUGGAACCCGGGAGGCAGAGGCUGCAGUGAGCCGAAAUUGCACUAUUGCACUCCGGCCUGGGCGACAGAGAAAGACUCCGUCUUAAAAUAUAUAUAUAUAUAUAUAAAAUUAAGCCAAAAUCCAAAAGAUGGAAUGACUGUGUGUUUGUCUCCUAAAGAACCCUAAGUCUGAGAGAGGAGGCCCCGUGGCAAGCCUCGUAAAUAUCAGGCAGUAACUGCCGGGUGUCUACAGAGUCACUGUGGCUCUAAGAGGAGGGAACCCUCCAUGGAAAGCUGAGGUGGCGAGGGGUUCACAGAGCCCCGCACACGCAUGUGCACACCCCAGCCCUCCAAGACACACACACACCUGCACAUGAGCACAUACUCAUAUGCACACACAUAUGCAACCCUUUGACACAAGAAAGACCCUUUGCCAAGCCCGAGUGGGAUCUGACAGAGAUUGGAGGAUGGGCACCUUUUUGUAAUUCACAUGCCCAGAGGUGGCACCAAGGCCACCUGUGCUGCAGGUGCCCCUGAGUGAUGCCAAUGGCCAUGAGAAGGUGGCCUGGGCUCUGAGUAAGCCUGGGGGCCUGGGAAUAUCUAGAUGAGGAUGGAAAGUUUGAAGCAGACUUUCACACACCAUCCCCACUCAUUACUCCCAGGGGCCAUCUCUCCUUCCCCUUCAGCACCAAAACGCAAUGGGAUCAAAAAUAAACAUGAAACUCCAAGUCUCCCAUGUCCUGACUUCCAGGGUGCCUGAGGCCAUAGGUUCUAGAGUCCAAUGUCAACCUUUCUUGCUUCAACUGCCUCAUACUUCAAGACUCAGCUCAAAUGACGUCCCCUCCUUGAAGACUUCCCCCACUCUCAGGCAAAGUGACUGCCCCCCGACCCGGCCCCACUCUGAGUCUACAACUCCCUGAGCAAUGUCCAGUGUCCCCCAUUACAUCGCUUGGUCAAUAUCUGCUCUCCUGGCCACUCCCGCAGCCAGACCACAAGCUCCGCUAAGACAGAGUCUGCAUGGAAUUUAUCUCUGUACCUCAUCCCCUAGCACCAGGCCUUGCACUUAACAGGACCUUAAGAAAUGACUGUGAGUGAAUGAAUGGGUUACAAAUAGUCAUGAAAACCUCAGCAACUUAUAACGUCAGCCCACAGCCCAAAGGAAGCACGCCCUCCCUCCCCAGCCCACCACAAAUUACUGCCAUUCUCAAAAGGACAACCCUGAAAGACCACAGUAAACCAGACAUGCCGCCUCCUAAGCUAGAUCUCAAAGCGGGAGGAGAGCUGGCUUUCAGGAUUUCUCCACCUGCAAGGCUGCAGGGCAGAGCUUUCCCUCAUCAGAAGGAAGGGGAAAUGGGAGGGACAAAGGGACUCAGGGUGGGGCACAGAUAGAGACUCAGACUUUUCAAGGGAACUGAGUUCGAGGAUAGAGACACAAGUGGCAGCCAGGGAAGCCAAGUCUCCUAGAAACUUCACACCAGGCUCUAGGGAUGGGUUUCCCCACCAUCCGGGCUGGGGGGCAGAGUUGGGGAUGUGCCCCAAGCAUGGGUGCAGCCAGGGAUGCCAGCUGUCCUCUGAAAAUACAGUCCUUCCAGCGGAGUGGGGGAGGCUGAGUGGUGGCAGAAAGGGGGAUGAGGGUGGGGGGUGGAACUAUAUCUCUAAUUGAAACUAUUUGCUCACUUCAACUGCCAGCUUGUACUUGUUCGAGUGUGGGUUUGGUAAUAUUUUUAUUUUUUUAAUAAAAGAAUCCUUACGCCCCGCCCCCCCCCCCCAACCCCCCAAGCCUGGGUUAUUUGUUUUGGAUUGUUUCACCAACAUCUGGAGCUUGCCCAAGACAAUGACUUCCAUCUCCAUGACCAACAGAUCCUUUCUGGAACCAAGACGCAGGCUUCCCCAGAGCACCAUUUCUGGCAGUUUAAGGUGUUCUGUUUUAUCUCUGCUUCCAGGCAUCAAAGAUUCAGAAAUACUCAGGUCCAGACUUGGCAAACACUGCUGCCCAAACAAGAAAUGUUUUUGUUUUUUGUCUUUUUUUUUUGGCGGGGGGGUUGUUUUUGUUUUGUUUUGUUUUUGUUUUUGAGACAGGGUCUUGCUCUGUCGCCCAGGCUGGAGUGCAGUGGCACAAUCUCAGCUCACUGCAGCCUCCACCUCCCGGGUUCAAGCAAUUCUCCUGCCUCAGCCUCCCGAGGAGCUGGGAUUACAGGUGCCUGCCACCACACCUGGCUGAUUUCUGUAUUUUUAGUACAGAUGGGGUUUCACCAUCUUGGCCAGGCUGGUCUCAAACUCCUGGCCUCAAACGAUCCACCCGCCUCGGCCUCUCAAAGUGCUGGGAUUACAGGCGUAGCCACCAUGCCUGGCCCCAAACAAGUAAUGUUAAUGGUUCAAGUGAGAGGUUUGCAUGUCCCUUUGUGUUUCAAUGCCAGAUGCCCAUGGGAGAGUGCUGGCUUGGCCAGAAGAAGUUAGGAGAUGACAGGUCGAUCCACAAACUCCCACCUGGAAUGGGUGGUUACCGUAUAAAAAAAUCUAAGAGGUUGGGUUGGGAAAAAGUCUUCAUGCAUUCUUUUGUUCCUUGGCUCAUGUGAUUAUUCAUUCAAUAAUCACGAGUGGAGCCCCAGCAGGGGACCCUGCCCCACGGGGGAGAAGUAGGGGGGUCCCUCAGCAUUGAAGCAAAGCAGAAAAAGGCAGAGAAAGAAGAGGCCAGAAAUGACUCAGGGAGCAGAGUAGUGGGAAAAACAGAAGUGAGAAGGGAAAAGAGGGAAGGAUGGGCCCCCAGAUGGAUUAAAAACUUCCAACGAAGGGCACUUUAAAGGAUCCUUUAUCAGAAAAGGCAAAAUUGGCCAGAUCCUCAGCUUCUCCCUGCACCCACUUCCUCACGUGGCUGCCCCUAGAUCCCUUCUGUAGCCUGCUCUGGGACCCACCCCUCCCUUACCUGCAGCCUGGCAGGAAGGUACACACAGCUCAGGCCCUGACAUAUAUCUGGACUCAAGUCUGCCUCGGAAAGGACAGGAAAGUUCCGGUAAAGGAGGAGGACCAGCAUGUUGGGGCCGUCCAAGGCCAUUCGGGGCCAGCCAAGGGGCAGGCUACAUUCUGGAGCUCUUUGUAAGAAAAUCCUCACUAACUGAUCCCACUAAUUCAGAAUCCCUGUCAGUUUCGAUGUUGGCAAUGCUAAAGUUGCUUUUAUACUAACCAUGAAAUAAAGAGUUUCUUAAGCAA
rnacentral:lncRNA from 1 species